rnacentral:rRNA from 1 species
AUUGAACGCUGGCGGCAUGCUUUACACAUGCAAGUCGAACGGUAACAGGCCGCAAGGUGCUGACGAGUGGCGCACGGGUGAGUAAUGCAUCGGAACGUGCCCAGUCGUGGGGGAUAACUACUCGAAAGAGUAGCUAAUACCGCAUACGAUCUAUGGAUGAAAGCGGGGGACCGUAAGGCCUCGCGCGAUUGGAGCGGCCGAUGUCAGAUUAGGUAGUUGGUGGGGUAAAGGCUCACCAAGCCAACGAUCUGUAGCUGGUCUGAGAGGACGACCAGCCACACUGGGACUGAGACACGGCCCAGACUCCUACGGGAGGCAGCAGUGGGGAAUUUUGGACAAUGGGCGCAAGCCUGAUCCAGCAAUGCCGCGUGCAGGAAGAAGACCUUCGGGUUGUAAACUGCUUUUGUACGGAACGAAACGGCUCUGGUUAAUACCCGGGGCUAAUGACGGUACCGUAAGAAUAAGCACCGGCUAACUACGUG